ACGUAGGGAGCCCUCGCAGCUCCCCGGGGUCCCUGCGUUACUCCGCUCGGCGCCGUGGGCAUCUGGGGCCAGUCAUUCUCUGUGUGUGGCGAGGGGUGGCCUCCCUUGCAUCCUAGGGGGCUUAGCGUUCUGGCUUCCAGCCCUUCGGGUCGUGACAGCCCAGCAUACCUCCCUGCAUGGCCCAAGUCACCCCCGGUUGGGGACUGCCACGGUGGACAGCUUUGACCGUUUGGGCCUUCACGUAAAUGCUAUUCUAUACCACGCACUCUGAAUGUUUUCUUUUACUCAGGCUUAGUUCUCUGAAAUGAGCCACGUGGGAGGACCACAGUGUGUUGGUGACUCUGUUGCUGAUGGAGGGGCCGCAUGAAGCUAAUAAGACAGUCCUCUUCUGGUGCACCCGGAGUUGGCAGGCCAGGCCAGCCGGAGCCCCUCCUGUCCCCUUCCCGAAGACGGAGGGUCCCGGUUCCCCAGGACGUGCAGUUUGGUUUCGUUGCGACCCGGGGGACUUCUUUUGCGUCCAAUAAUCGGGGACACGUCUGCCAAGCGUGUGCCUGCUUGGACUUCAGUGCUGGUCUGAGAAGGGCCGUGAGGCUCCCGGCGGGCGCCCGGAGGGCAAGUGUCUAAUUGCACAUUUCAGACGCGGGGUGUGCGAGCCCCCGGGCGUCGUGUGCUGUUCCGUUGGGGUGAGCUCAGCACAAACAAAAGGGUAAACCUAAGGAUUAAGUUCUCCUUCAAAUACUUAUGGGUUUCCAGCUUCUGGGGAAAAUAGGCCUGGGAAAAAUCUCUUUGGGGUUUCAUGAAACACUUGGAAAAUAGAUCUGAAAAACAUUUUCCAAACCCGG